GCUGUGUUGAUUUAUUUCUUCACGGCUAGCAGAAGGUUUCAUUAUGAGACCGAUGUAUUUUUAAUCCCUUUUAAAUAAUAAAAUUACUGAUAAACAACUAGCAUCAGAAAUGAUAGCUUGUAAUAAAAUACAACUUUCAACAGUGGAUGUCUAGGCUCGCACAUCGAUGAAGAGCGCAGCGAACUGCGAUACGUAAUGCGAAUUGCAGAACUCAGUGAGUCAUCGAAAUCUUGAACGCAUAUUGCACUUUCGGGUUAGUCCUGGAAGUAUGUCUGUAUCAGUGUCCGUAAAAACACAAUUGUUUUUAUCUUUUGAUAGAACAGAAUAUGAAGGUCUUGUUUCGGCAAGUCCUUUGAAAAGAAGAUCCCUGUAUAGUAUGAAAUAUAUUAUAUAAAGGAUAUUUGAUUUCUUAUUUCUAAAAUUUUGUGUGUAUAUUGUACAAGAAUUGAAAGAAGAAUAAAUUGCGGUAGUUUUACUUGUGUUUCGGCACGGGUGAACAUUAUAUUGCUUUUUAUGAUUCUGGAUUGAAUUGUGAAUAGAAAAUAAGAUAUGAAUUAAGUAUAUUUGAAUAUCUGGUAUAUGAUCCAUUCUAUAUGGAAGURAAUUGGGAAAUACAAUCCAAUUUGGACCUGAUAUCAGACAAGACUACCG
rnacentral:rRNA from 1 species